UGAGACUUCCGGGGUGGCGCCUCCGGAAAAUGGCGGAAUUCCCUUCGAACUGAAGGGAACCCGCUGCACGGAGGCUUGGGUCCUGCCGCUACGGCGCAGCGGGGACCCUUAAAAACCACAGGCGGAAGAAGCCUGUGGGCGUGGGACUCGGCGGGCACCGAGAGCGCUCUCUCCCUUGUACAGGAGCCCGGUAACGGGCUCCGGAGUGGGAGGUGCGUGGUGCUGUGAGUCGACUGCUUCCUCCGUGCAGCAAAGCCGCACUGCCGUUUCGGAGAGCGCUGCCAUUUCCUGGACAAUUUGGCAUCUAAAACAUCUAUCCGUGAGUACCUGAUCCUGGAAGAGCUGAACUACUUUUAAGAUUGGUGAAUAAAUAAAUAACAUUGGACUUGAACUUGAAAUUGAAUUUAAUUGGGACUCGGAACGGAAAGGUCUAAACAGGAAGUCGCCUUCCGUUCUUUUGUUACGUGAAGAAAGCAAAGACAAAUUAUACUAAAGCCUGAAAACUAAAUUCUGAGAGAACUAAAAUUCAACAUCUAAGAUUUCUGAACCCCCUUUGAUUGCAGGAGAAGAAGGGGGUUGUUUUGAUCUUUUCAACCCUGCGGAAGUGAGUUUAAAAUAAAGUAAUUUUCCACCGCCCUGAACCAGGAGCGGGCUGUCAGAACUGACGUUUUGAAGCUUAUCCAGCUCGACAGAUAGUUAAAAGAAGGGUAACAUUUUGAUUCUACUGUUGCCUCUUGAAUUUGAAAGGGGGAAUUUUGGAUAAAGUGUUUCUGGAAAAAGAAAGAUUGUUACUGUUGUUUUUCCCCCUCUUAAAAAAUAAAAAAAUAAAAAAAAAGGGUUUUCCAUCUAGUGGAACUGAGUGAAAUUGCAAUGCAGAGAGUUUAAAAGAGAAGGACCAUUCUCGUGGGAAAGAAUUUUUUUUGACCUUGAAGGACAAUGCUUGUACAAAGGCUUGAACAAGUGUUCCUGGAAGGUUUUGCAAAAUUAAGUGCCCAGCUGGACCAGAUGCGUCAGGAGUCGACCUUGAUGAUGACGGAAGUCACCAGAGCACAGCAGCAAACAAAUGAAAUUCAGUUAAAGUCUAUACAAGUAUAUGAACCUGCUGUAGCGACGGAGGCUUCAGAGAUGGAGGGACCUAUGGAUGGGCAAGAUCAGCCUUUGAACUUGAUAAAUGAACUUGGGACAAACCUGAUUCGGAAAGAUGAAAUGUGGUCAGAUUUGGAAAUGGGGGGAUGGAUUGACACCCCUCUAUAUGGUUAUUUGGACUUUCCGAGUCUAGGGAUGGGCCAUCAGAGGAUUGGAGUAGUCGAAGUCUCCAAGUUUUCUGGAAAUUGGAAGUGGUAUUAUCUGCUGUCUGGCUUGGGUAAUGGGUUUGGGAUGGACUUGCUGCAAAGAGUCAAAAGCAUCUUCUUGCUGGAGUAUCCACGACUGAAAGGGAAAUAUCAACAAGAGUGGCGAAAGGGGCAAGAAAGAGACUUGAGGGCCUCGGACACGAGACAACCAGGUUAAGGAGCCGGAUUAUUGAGGUUAAAAGGACUGACAAUCCCGGGACCAGGGGAGGGGAGGCUGGAAGUUGACUGGACUAAAUCUGACUUAUUAUUUUUUCUUUCUUAUUUUUUAAUAUUGGGAAUGUUUAUAAAUGUUUGAAGGAUGUUGAAUGAAAUUAUAUGACUUAAGUAAGGAUUGGUAAAUGAUUUGUAAAAAGGUAAUGAUGUAAGAAUUUGCUAAAUAUGGAAUAUAAGCUUUGAGUUUUAAAGUUUUUAUAUGACAAGAGGGAAAAUAGAACAAGGAAACGCAAUGAUAGAUUGUUAUGAAAAAACAGAAAGGAUUUGCUGUAAAAAUUAAACACUAAGAAACAAGAGAGGGGAGGAGGAGGAAGUCUAGAAAGGAAGUUAAUGGAGAUCGUAAAGGAUUUUAUAUUUCUGUUUUUCUGUUUUUCUUUUUUUCUUUUUUGCGGCUGGGUUUUUUCUUCUUUAUUAUUUCUGUAUUAUUUUUGUUUUUUUUGUAUUUUCAAACUUUUUUGGAAAUUUUUGUUGUUAUUUGUUACUUUUUGAAAAUUUAAUAAAUAUCAAUUAAAAAAAAA
rnacentral:lncRNA from 1 species